rnacentral:rRNA from 1 species
GAUGAACGCUGACAGAAUGCUUAACACAUGCAAGUCAACUUGAAUUUGGGUUUUUAACUUAGGUUUGGGUGGCGGACGGGUGAGUAACGCGUAAAGAACUUGCCUCACAGCUAGGGACAACAUUUGGAAACGAAUGCUAAUACCUAAUAUUAUGAUAAUAGGGCAUCCUAUAAUUAUGAAAGCUAUAAGCGCUGUGAGAGAGCUUUGCGUCCCAUUAGCUAGUUGGAGAGGUAACGGCUCACCAAGGCGAUGAUGGGUAGCCGGCCUGAGAGGGUGAUCGGCCACAAGGGGACUGAGACACGGCCCGUACUCCUACGGGAGGCAGCAGUGGGGAAUAUUGGACAAUGGACCGAGAGUCUGAUCCAGCAAUUCUGUGUGCACGAUGAAGUUUUUCGGAAUGUAAAGUGCUUUCAGUUGGGAAGAAACAAAUGACGGUACCAACAGAAGAAGUGACGGCUAAAUACGUG